GGCGGCAUGCUUAACACAUGCAAGUCGAACGAGAAAGCUUCUUCGGAAGUGAUUAAAGUGGCGCACGGGUGAGUAACGCGUAGACAAUCUGCCCUUCAGUCUGGGACAACUUUCCGAAAGGGGAGCUAAUACCGGAUAACAAUAUUUGACAUAAGUCAUAUAUUUGAAAGCUCCGGCGCUGAUGGAUGAGUCUGCGUCCCAUUAGCUUGUUGGUGCGGUAGUGGCGCACCAAGGCUACGAUGGGUAGCGGGUUUGAGAGGACGAUCCGCCACACUGGAACUGAGACACGGUCCAGACUCCUACGGGAGGCAGCAGUGGGGAAUAUUGCACAAUGGAGGAAACUCUGAUGCAGCAAUGCCGCGUGAGUGAAGAAGGCCCUUGGGUCGUAAAGCUCUUUUAUGGGGGAAGAUGAUGACGGUACCCCAAGAAUAAGCACCGGCUAACUACGUGCCAGCAGCCGCGGUAAUACGUAGGGUGCGAGCGUUGUUCGGAAUUACUGGGCGUAAAGGGCGCGCAGGCGGAGGUGUAAGUCGGAGGUGAAAGCCCGGGGCUCAACCCCGGAGGGUCUUUCGAAACUACAUCUCUAGAGAGGGUCAGGGGCCGGCAGAAUUCCUGGUGUAGAGGUGAAAUUCGUAGAUAUCAGGAGGAAUACCGGUGGCGAAAGCGGCCGGCUGGGGCCACUCUGACGCUGAGGCGCGAAAGCGUGGGGAGCAAACAGGAUUAGAUACCCUGGUAGUCCACGCCGUAAACGAUGAGCACUGGACGUUCGGAGGGUUCGACCCUUCUGGGUGUUUCAGCUAACGCAUUAAGUGCUCCGCCUGGGGAGUACG
rnacentral:rRNA from 1 species